rnacentral:rRNA from 1 species
GACGAACGCUGGCGGCGUGCUUAACACAUGCAAGUCGAACGGAGAGGCCCUGCUUUUGUGGGGUGCUCGAGUGGCGAACGGGUGAGUAACACGUGAGUAACCUGCCCCUGACUUUGGGAUAACUUCAGGAAACUGGGGCUAAUACCGGAUAGGAGCUCCUGCUGCAUGGUGGGGGUUGGAAAGUUUCGGCGGUUGGGGAUGGACUCGCGGCUUAUCAGCUUGUUGGUGGGGUAGUGGCUUACCAAGGCUUUGACGGGUAGCCGGCCUGAGAGGGUGACCGGCCACAUUGGGACUGAGAUACGGCCCAGACUCCUACGGGAGGCAGCAGUGGGGAAUAUUGCACAAUGGGCGGAAGCCUGAUGCAGCAACGCCGCGUGCGGGAUGACGGCCUUCGGGUUGUAAACCGCUUUCGCCUGUGACGAAGCGUGAGUGACGGUAAUGGGUAAAGAAGCACCGGCUAACUACGUG